rnacentral:ncRNA from 1 species
AUCAUCAGUAGUGGUUAUACUAUCUCUUAAAAAGAUAUAUAACAUUUAUAACACUAUAAAAAAAUAGAAACUUCAUAGCGAACUUCUCAGUUGAACAUUAUGUUUUCUGAUUUAGUUUGCGUUCAGCUAAGUGUUUUUUGACUUUUUUAACAGAAGAGUAACAAAAAACAUUUCGUUUCUGGUUUCUUAGACUUUAAAGUGCUAUGCGCUAGUU